GGUCAAGCUACAAAGGGCGCAUGGUGAAUGCCUUGGCAUCAGGAGCCGAUGAAGGACGUGAUAAGCUGCGAUAAGCUUCGGGUAGGCGCACAUAGCCUGAGAUCCGAAGAUCUCCGAAUGAGGAAACUCACAUGGGAAACCCCAUGUAUCAUUAAGUGAAUACAUAGCUUAAUGAAGGUAACCCAGGGAACUGAAACAUCUAAGUACCUGGAGGAAGAGAAAGAAAAAUCGAUUUUCUUAGUAGCGGCGAGCGAAAGGGAAAGAGCCCAAACCGGAAACUUGUUUCCGGGGUUGUGGACAUAACAUAAAAGUGGAGGCUAUUGUAACUGAAGAGAACUGGAAAGUUCCACCGUAGAAGGUAAUAGUCCUGUAAGUGAAACGAGAAGACCACGAGUUAUGAUCCAGAGUACCACGAGACACGUGAAACCUUGUGGGAAGCAGGGAGGACCACCUCCCAAGGCUAAAUACUACCUGAUGACCGAUAGUGAAGCAGUACCGUGAGGGAAAGGUGAAAAGAACCCCGGGAGGGGAGUGAAAUAGAACCUGAAACCGUGUGCCUACAACCGCUCAGAGCCCCUUAUGAGGGUGAUGAGGUGCUUUUUGUAGAACGAGCCAACGAGUUACGGUAUGUAGCAAGGUUAAGUACUUAAGGUACGGAGCCGAAGGGAAACCGAGUCUGAAUAGGGCGACUAGUUGCAUGCCGUAGACCCGAAACCGGGUGACCUAUCCAUGGCCAGGUUGAAGCGAGGGUAAAACCUCGUGGAGGACCGAACCACGUUGCUGUUGAAAAAGCAUGGGAUGAGCUGUGGAUAGCGGAGAAAUUCCAAUCGAACCCGGAGAUAGCUGGUUCUCUCCGAAAUAGCUUUAGGGCUAGCGUCGAGUAUGAGUAGUGGAGGUAGAGCACUGAAUGGGCUAGGGGGCAUAGCGCUUACCGAACCUUAUCAAACUCCGAAUGCCACAUACUUUGAGCUCGGCAGUCAGACUACGAAUGAUAAGAUCCGUGGUCAAAAGGGAAACAGCCCAGAUCGUCAGCUAAGGUCCCAAAGUGUAAGUUAAGUGGGAAAGGAUGUGAGAUUUCUAAGACAACUAGGAUGUUGGCUUAGAAGCAGCCAUUCAUUAAAAGAGUGCGUAAUAGCUCACUAGUCGAGAGAUCUUGCGCCGAAAAUGUAACGGGGCUAAACUUACCACCGAAGCUACGGGCUUGAAC
rnacentral:rRNA from 1 species